CUCAGGAGUGGCUGUUGUCACUUGUAUAUUGCAGGCCCAAAUCAUGGCUGCCUGCAGCCAUCGCGUCUGCCACCUGGGUGAGGGGUCAUUGUGCCAAUCAUGCCCAGCCGGAAAUGACUUGGUUUCCCCACUCGAGCCCCCACGUUGCUGGCCUCCCCUGCCCACUCCCGUUAGUGGCUGAAGCCAUCCGCAGAGGCUGCCCUGCAAACAACGAUGACGCCUGUAGGCUGGGGAGUCUGUCCUGGUGACAAUAGCCCAGCCUGCCUGUGCGUUUGGGCUGUGCCGGGGAAACACAGGUGAUCUGAAUGAUGUCAAGGAAACCAAGCAAUGGCAGUAUGUGAAACAAUGACUCGGUCAACACAGCCGGCUAGUAUUCAACUAUUAAACAUGAGGCCGGGUUAUAUGCCCUAAGCCUUUGCUUUGAGCAAAGUAGUUUGGAAAGGAAUACCUUUGGCACAUUGUCGAUGCCUGCCCCAGCCCCCACCGAUGUCACUGGCUGCGUGACCGGCAGCCGGCUCUCAGUCGGUGAGUCACAGCUGUACGUGGCCCACCUUCUGGCCGUGGGGGUCGGCGUCUCUCCUCUGCGCACCUUGUCGCUGUCCCAGUGAGAUAUGGUGAAGUCCUGUACGCUGCGUCUCCCACGAUGUGAAAGGCACAAGAGAGAGGGUCUGAGGAGGUACGGGUGCUACAGAUACAGCUCUGUCACCUGCUGAGGCUGGUAUGUCCCCGUGCCUGGGGACAUACAAGCUAUAACGGGAGCUCGUGUUUGUACCCCGCUGCUAGACCCGAGCAGAGCUCCCUUCGCAGAGCUCUGAAGUGGAUAAGUUUCCGUGCACUCGAUCCUUCACCCUCUGGACUUGCCAGAAUCGCGUGAGGAGUGUUCGUGCUCACAGGGCCCUGGCCCGCAGGCCGGGAGAGGCCAUGGUGGUGAUAUUCAUGCUAGCAGUAAUGACAUGAAAGGCAACAGGGACAGCAUCAAUCAUUGCCAAGGUCCCACGGGUACCAGCUGUCACAGCAGAUAAUCUGUGCAGUCGCAGGAGCACAUCUGCCUCAUCUCAGCACCCCGACAGCCACGCCAGCCCAGUGCCCUUCAUCUGCAGUUUGCACUUGGGGUAACUGAGGCUCAGGCGGCUAAAGUUAAGUAACAAAGGGUUCUGACGGGACUCAGAUCUCCAGGCCAAUCUCGGGAAGGUGACCCUUCUGGUUACAUAAUGGGAGAAUCGACCCCAUCGUGGGAACUGCCAUCCUGUGACUCAGACGUCAGAGCAAAGGGAUCUCCUCCAGCUCUGACACGACGCUGCUUCUCCGCACCUGCUCGCUCCCCUCCCUGGAGAAGAACCGUCUUUCAUCCUCAUAGCUACGAUUUUUCGAACAUCGGUUUUCAUUCGGGGCACCCUGUCUCUUUGGGAGAUUGCACAAAUUAAAUCGUUUUUAAGCAA